rnacentral:lncRNA from 1 species
GCUUUGCAACCGCUGCCCUCACCAAGGCCUGGACCACAGCCCGAGCAGUCCAGCCCCUGCCCCAGCCACAGCCUCCCCCCAGCCCCCUGCCAUGGGCUCCCCCGGAACCCCCCCUGUGUGAUCCUUCCGACCCAGGGCAGCCUCACUGUCCUGGACACCCGGCCGCUGCAUCCUCUGCCCUUGUGUGACCUCCUGCAAGAAGGCAGGAGCACACCGCUCCCGGGCCUCGUGGCCAGGCACAAGCCCACCUCGUGUGGACCCCAGGCAUGGCAGGAGAGCCACCACGAGAGCCCCACCAAGGCACAGCCAGGGGAGGGCCCGCCAUCUCUUGGAUGGCUUCUGCGCUGUGGCCCCUGACAUUGAGUGUGGCUCAUUGUUGGUUGUGAGGCUGGCCUGUGCAUGAGGGGCUAUCAGGCAGCCUCCCUGGACCCUAGAAGCCAGACCCUAAUGGCUGCUCAGCCCCAGCCCAGUGGCAACAAAUGGAAGUGUCUCCAAACAUUCAUUAUCGAGUGUCCCCAGAGACCAAGACCAGCCCUGGAUAACACCCACUGGGCAAGUCCCUAGCAGACAGUGUGCACAGAAGUGGGCUGCAGAGAGAGGUAGGUGCGUCCCAUGCCUGGACUUUCCUCUGAUGCCAGCCUCAGCCCAGCCUCUGCUACCCUGAGAGAGACCCUGCCCUACCUCCCCAUGCCCACCUCCACCGUCCCCUCCUGCCAGGGUCCCACCCCUGAGCAACAUGGCCCUGCCUUCCCUCUGCAAAUUCUUUCCAGACUAAGCGGCAACACCGGCAGAGCCUCCCAAGGAAGGGAGGAGGGAGGACAGAGGCCAAGGUGGCUCCCGGCCACCCUUCCAGCUUCCUCCCUCCCUGGCCACAAGGACAUAAAGCUCAGAGGGAUGGAUGGACAGACAGGAAGGCUCAGGCUGGACACGCAUUGUCCGAGUGCCCCAAGCAGAGCUGGGCAAGGAGCAAAUGCUCAGGCAGGCUGUGGGAUGAGCAGGUGAAAUGGAUGGAAGGAUGGACGGACAGACGGAUGGAUGGAUGGACGGAUGGAUGGAGCCCAACACCAGCUCUCAGGUCCUAGACGGAUGGUCCAACACCAGAGAGGUGGCCUCUCUCAGCAGGUGUGGUCACCAUUCCUGGGGACAUAACCUCCCCUCCUGCUUCCAGAGCAGCCUGGAAUAUUCUUUGAUGCUGUAUCGUCUUCCCUGACCCUUUCAAGGGGGAAGAAAACAUUGGUCCAUGGUAGAGAGGGGCAGCCUGGGAUCAGGGAGGUACACAAGCCCAAGAUCACACAGCAAGCAGGGCUCCCCUGGGGCCAAAACUGACCCCUGCUCCCUCUACCCGGCCUCGAGCCCCUCCUCCCACUGCUCUGGAUCCCAUCCCACUGACACGGGCACAGGGUCAUGACUAGGGUGGGGGGUCAUGCCUGGGGCCUGAUACGCACCAGUGUGGCCGCAGCCCACCCCCUGCCCGCUGUGGCUGCCACACAAGCCAGCCAUUCUUGGCAAGACAAAGGCCGGCCGGGGCAGGGUGGCUCUGGUGCCUCCCUGGUGGGUGUCUGGACUCUGCAGGACGUCAGUAAGUGGAUCCUGGUGCCUG